rnacentral:tRNA from 1 species
GGGUCGUUAGCUCAGUAGGUUAGAGCAGUUGACUCAUAAUCAUCAGGUCCAGGGUUCAAGCCCCUGACGGCCCA